GAAAUGCGAUACUUGGUGUGAAUUGCAGAAUCCCGUGAACCAUCGAGUUUUUGAACGCAAGUUGCGCCCGAAGCCUUUGGCCAGGGCACGUCUGCCUGGGCGUCACGCACUGCGUCUCCCCCAACCCGCCCAGCUGCGGGAGGGGCGAGGAGGAUGGUCUCCCGUGCCUCACCGGGCGUGGAUGGCCUAAAACAGGAGCCCACGGUUGCGAGCUGCUGCGGCGAUUGGUGGUGUGCAAGGCCUAGCCUAGAAUGCAAUCGCGUCGCACGGUGCGUGGACCUUGUGGCCUCGAGGACCCUAGAGUGUUGCCCGAGGGCGACCAACCACUGCGACCCCAGGUCAGGCGGGACUACCCGCUGAGUUUAA
rnacentral:misc_RNA from 1 species